rnacentral:lncRNA from 1 species
CAGUGCGGGGACCAGAGGGAUGUGGGAUCCUGAGGAUCACUGUGGGGCACGGACGCUCAAUCCUCAGUCCCCAAGGCCGCGGCGGCGAGGCCCGGGUGGAAGGCGGCGGCGAUCCCGGGGAGGACGCGGCCGGAGUGCAGCAGGGCCAUGGUGGACCGUAGGAGGGCAGUGGGCAGCCGCAGGACGGAGCAGAGGGCGAGCGGACACACACACAGGGAACCGGCUCCUGCUGAAGGUAAUUGUAUGACAAUGGAGAGGUGAUUACUGCGCUGAAAAUCAGUUUCCUGAAGUGAAAAAGGGAAUCAAGUUACGUCACAGAGCCUGGUGUGAGCGGCGCUCUGUCAACACCAGCUCUUCAUGGGUUGUGGUUUCCUCCAGUUCCUGGAUGUGUGGAGUUCAUCCUCCACUGACUGGCGCCCCGGUUGACAAUGAGGUCUGGAAAUUGGCAACUGAUGAAGGGAAGUGUAUCAGUCCGUUUUCAUGCUGCUGAUAAAGACACACCCGAGACUGGGAAGAAAAAGAGGUUUAAUGGACUUACACUUCGACAUGGCUGGGGAGGCCUCACAAUCGUGGUAGAAGGCAAGGAGGAGCAAGUCACAUCUUACGUGGAUGGUGGUGGGCAAAAGAGAGAGAGCUUGUGCAGGGGAACUCCUCUUUUUAAAAGUAUCAGAUCUCGUGAGAUUUAUUCACUAUUAUGACAACAGCAGAAGACAGACCUGCCCCCAUGAUUCAAUUACCUCCCACUGAGUGCCUCCCUCAACAUGUGGGAAUUACGAGUUAUACUUCAAGAUGAUUUGGGUGGGGACACACAGCCAAACCAUAUUAGGGAGCAGGAAAAAGAAACAAAAACAGCAACUAAUAACUCCCAAGACCACAGCUUCGCUCCUGUCUAGAGCUUUGCUACUUAGCCACAGGAACACGGGUGAUCAUACCUCAACAGAAGUCUGCCAGCAUUCAUUACGACCAGUGCUUAAUCUCAUCUGACAAUAUCAAUGUCAAAAUCAGAGCUUGGAGCUGGCGGUGUUUCAGCAGAGGAGUCUUUGGAGCUUCCACGAACUGGUUCAAUAAACAAUCUUGCUGUGAAACACAGAGCUUGGUAUUUAGAAGGGUUUUAGCUGGCAUAUCCACAAAGCUGCAGCAUCCUGUCCACUGCUAAUUCCACUGUGAAAUGUUGAAAUACAGCUCUUAGCUCCGAGAAAGCAUGUAGGCUUCUAUUUGCAUGCAAAUCAUUGCCAUUCAUGUGUGAACUACAGCAGGUAACAGCUCUGCCAGAUGGAAUAAUUUGGGGUAAGGCCAUCCUCUUUGUUAAAGGCCACAGGUAUCCAUGCAUGCUGCAGUGUAGCUCAUUCCUACUUUCCACGUCACCCCCUGGGGAAUAAUCAUUUUAAUGAUGGGCCUCAAGGAAAGGAAACGCCAUUCUACCCUGUCAUCAUUUAGUAAACAAAAUGGUGCCAAUUAGUGUAAUGCUGACCUAAUGUAAUAUUUGAUGCAAUUAGUAAAUUGAGAGGGAUAAAAAGGAACAUGGUAAAUUGAUAGAUCAAGAAAACUCCCUUGGAUUUUGAAAAAGUACAGAUUGCAUGCAUGUUUCAAGGAAAACCACUGUGGUCUCACCCCAGGUGGCAGUGCCUUGUAGUGGUUAGGAGUGUGUGUCUCUAGAAUCGGAAUGCUUGUGUCUCAAUCGCAGCUCUACCUCUUACUAACCAGAAGACUUUGAAUAAAACUCACACUUCCUAAGUGUCAACUUCAUCAUCUGUAAAGUGAAGAUAGUAGUAGACAAUUGAACUUAAUCCUCUCCUGGUCAUAUGAGGUAGGUCUGAUUUAAGUAGUUGAGCAGCCUGCCUGAUACAUGUAAAGCUUAACAAUAACUAUAAAUAAUCAUAAUUACAAUGAAUAAAAUAGCCAUAGAAGCUAGUUGCAUUAAAUUUAUUUGUAAUAAAUGUAGUAGCUAAUGCUGUACUUGAUCAAUUCACAGAGCUGAUUUCUCCAAUAAAUAGGAAGCUCCUAAGUAUAGAGACCAUGUCUUCUCUUCUUGUCAUCAGUGGUUUGCUCACCAUCUAACACUUAGGAUGUAUUCAACAAAUGGUUAUUAAAUGCAC